UACGAAGGGGGCUAGCGUUGUUCGGAAUCACUGGGCGUAAAGCGCACGUAGGCGGACCUAUAAGUCAGGGGUGAAAUCCCGGGGCUCAACCUCGGAACUGCCUUUGAUACUGUGGGUCUCGAGACCGGAAGAGGUGGGUGGAAUUCCUAGUGUAGAGGUGAAAUUCGUAGAUAUUAGGAAGAACACCAGUGGCGAAGGCGGCUCACUGGUCCGGUUCUGACGCUGAGGUGCGACAGCGUGGGGAGCAAACAGG
rnacentral:rRNA from 1 species